UCCAAUGUUUAUUCCGGCGCGGCGAUUACUGUCGUUUCUGUUUCUCGUUGUAUUCUCGGAUAGGUUAUUAAAAGCUUUGUGUUUGUGUUUUGCUACGUCCCUCUGCCUGCAGUCAUUUGUGCUGUGUCACAGCCCCCCAGCUCCCCACGCCCACCUCCGGGGCAGGAUGGGGCACCACAGAUGGCCACGGUGUCCCUCAGCUGCCACCAGCAGCCCCAGCCCUCCUCUCUCCCUGCAGUCCUUUGUGCAGCGGGAUGCAGAGGGCGUUUCACACAGCUCGCCUGCUCUGCCCAGUGCUGUGAAUUGUCGUGGGGAUGGGCAGCAGGCAGGGCACGGGCGGAUGGAGGGGAAUCGCAUCGGCUCACCGUGGCCAGCAGAGACUCCGGCAGCGGCAGCAGGGGCAGUUCCCAUGGAGGGGGGAAGCAGGGGCGGCUGGGCCUGCCAUGCAGACGGACAGACAGGCAUCAAGACGCCUCCCACGUCACGGCUCUUCUUGCCCCCACACCGUUUGGCUCCUGGCAGUUUUGUCUGCAGACGGGGACCCAGCCAAGUCUGUACACCCAGAGCAGGAUUUUCCAGCUGGCGGCCGCUCACGAGUGCUGUCCCCCAGGGCUGGGGACUGGGGCCACUCCUACUGAACACCUUUAUCAAUGAACUUGAGCAGGGCACUGAGUGCACCCUCAGUGCGUUCACAGACGGCCCUGAGUUCAGAGGGAGCGCUGCUCUGCCAACCUGAGCCGUUCUGUGCUUCUAAGCUUCCACGCUCGCUGCCAUAUCCAUUCCAAGUCCAUCCCGUAUGCAGAGCCCAGCCCAUAUAUAUCCCAUUUCCCGAUAUCCCAUCCCGUAUCCAUCCCAUAUCCAUAUUCCCGCACCCCACAUCCCAAUGCCACAUCCAACAUCCCAACUGCACAUUCCAACCUCACAUCCAACAUCCCAACUCCAUAUCCCAAACCCAUGUCCUAUAUCCCCCAUCCGAACCCCACAUCCUAUAUCCCACAUCCCAAUCCCAAUUCCAAAUCUCAUUCCCCAUCCCUCAUCCCAACCCCN
rnacentral:lncRNA from 1 species